rnacentral:rRNA from 1 species
GAUGAACGCUGGCGGCGUGCCUAAUACAUGCAAGUCGAGCGAACAGAUGAGGAGCUUGCUCCUCUGACGUUAGCGGCAGACGGGUGAGUAACACGUGGAUAACCUACCUAUAAGACUGGGAUAACUUCGGGAAACCGGAGCUAAUACCGGAUAAUAUAUUGAACCGCAUGGUUCAAUAGUGAAAGACGGUUUUGCUGUCACUUAUAGAUGGAUCCGCGCCGCAUUAGCUAGUUGGUAAGGUAACGGCUUACCAAGGCAACGAUGCGUAGCCGACCUGAGAGGGUGAUCGGCCACACUGGAACUGAGACACGGUCCAGACUCCUACGGGAGGCAGCAGUAGGGAAUCUUCUGCAAUGGGCGAAAGCCUGACGGAGCAACGCCGCGUGAGUGAUGAAGGUCUUCGGAUCGUAAAACUCUGUUAUUAGGGAAGAACAAAUGUGUAAGUAACUAUGCACGUCUUGACGGUACCUAAUCAGAAAGCCACGGCUAACUACGUG